rnacentral:misc_RNA from 1 species
GGGACCAUUAUUAUGGUUUUAAGGUCAAAAAGCGCUUUAACUAGAUCAAUGCAGCUCUUGAGAUGUGUCUGAUGCAACUAAGCUGCUGCAUUUCAACAGAAAACCCAUGAUCCUCUUCCCACUGUCCUGUAAAAUUGGUGCAUCAAUUGAGGUGCAAUGCAGGUUUUCUUUAAAUAAAUCAGAGUCUCUGUUGCCGAUGUGUGAGCAGACGGUCACCCACAGGCAAUGCAGGAUACAUGAAGGUUAUGAAGCUCGAUGCCACAAUUCCAUGGUCGGAGCUCAUGGAAGCAGCACGCAGAAAUGAUUCUAUAUCAAGAAACCCAUCACUUUAUAGCAUUGCUGCUGCAUUUAUACAGUACUUAAUCUUGAAGUUUGCAGGUCAUCACUUUCAUCUUUAUCAAGAAAACCAUCAAUGUUAUGC